CAGUCGUGAGGAAGGUAGUGUAGUUAAUAGCUGCAUUAUUUGACGUUAGCGACAGAAGAAGCACCGGCUAACUCCGUGCCAGCAGCCGCGGUAAUACGGAGGGUGCGAGCGUUAAUCGGAAUUACUGGGCGUAAAGCGCAUGCAGGUGGUUUGUUAAGUCAGAUGUGAAAGACCCGGGGCGUCAACCUCGGAAUAGCAUUUGAAACUAGGCAGACUAGAGUACUGUAGAGGGGGGUAGGAAUUUCAGGUGUAGCGGUGAAAUGCGUAGAGAUCUGAAGGAAUACCGGUGGCGAAGGCGGCCCCCUCGGACAGAUACUGACACUCAGAUGCGAAAGCGUGGGGAGCAAACAGGAUUAGAUACCCUGGUAG
rnacentral:rRNA from 1 species